rnacentral:rRNA from 1 species
UACGUAGGUGACAAGCGUUGUCCGGAUUUAUUGGGCGUAAAGAGCGUGUAGGCGGCCAGACAGGUCCGUUGUGAAAACUUGAGGCUCAACCUCGAGACGCCGAUGGAAACCGUCUGGCUAGAGUCCGGAAGAGGAGAGUGGAAUUCCUGGUGUAGCGGUGAAAUGCGCAGAUAUCAGGAAGACACCCGUGGCUAAGGCGGCUCUCUAGUACGGUACUGACGCUGAGACGCGAAAGCGUGGGGAGCGAACAGGAUUAGA